rnacentral:rRNA from 1 species
AUUGAACGCUGGCGGCAGGCCUAACACAUGCAAGUAGAGCGGCGCGGCGGACGGGUGAGUAAAGCCUAGGAAUCUGCCUGGUAGUGGGGGAUAACGUCCGGAAACGAGCGCUAAUACCGCAUAUUAUAAGAUGAGCCUAGGUUGGAUUAGCUGGGGUGUGGGGUAAAGGCCUACUAGGGCGACGAUCCGUCACUGGUCUGAGAGGAUGAUCAGUCACAUUGGAACGGGGAAACGGUCCAGACUCCUACGGGAGGCAGCAGUGGGGAAUAUUGGACAAUGGGCGAAAGCCUGAUCCAGCCAUUCCGCGUGUGUGAAGAAGGUCUUCGGAUGGUAAAGCACGUUAAGUUGGGAGGCGUUACCUACAGAGUAAGCACCGGCUAACUACGUGCCAGCAGCCGCGGUAAUAC